rnacentral:rRNA from 1 species
GGGGACUAACCCUUCCGUGCCGGAGUAAACACAAUAAGCAUUCCACCUGGGGAGUACGACCGCAAGGUUGAAACUCAAAGGAAUUGACGGGGGCCCGCACAAGCAGUGGAGUAUGUGGUUUAAUUCGAAGCAACGCGAAGAACCUUACCAGGUCUUGACAUCCAACUAACGAACUAGAGAUAGAUUAGGUGCCCUUCGGGGAAAGUUGAGACAGGUGGUGCAUGGUUGUCGUCAGCUCGUGUCGUGAGAUGUUGGGUUAAGUCCCGCAACGAGCGCAACCCCUGCCAUUAGUUGCUACGCAAGAGCACUCUAAUGGGACCGCUACCGACAAGGUGGAGGAAGGUGGGGACGACGUCAAAUCAUCAUGCCCCUUAUGACCUGGGCUACACACGUACUACAAUGGCCGUUAACAGAGGGAAGCAACACAGCGAUGUAGAGCAAACCCCUAAAAACGGUCUCAGUUCAGAUUGUAGGCUGCAACUCGCCUAUAUGAAGUCGGAAUUGCUAGUAAUCGCGGAUCA